AUGUGGUCGUUGGAGGGCGCGGCAGAGGUGCUGGGCGUCAACUGCAUCAUCGACCGCCUCGACACACGCACGCACGAGCGCGGCCACACCAAGACGUUCGCGUGCUGGGUGUGGGUGUGGGAUGUCGCCUUCAUCGCCACCAAGCACACCAUCUGGCGGGCCGCGCGUGGCACCGGCCGUGUCGAGACCAUGCUUGGCGCCUCUCCCCCAAGCCGCGAGGUUGCUCCACCACCCCGCGUCAGGCAACACCAGAUGCUCAUCCACGUCGACCGCGUAGAAGACUGGUCGUCACCGUCGCCUCGCUCCUCCCACUCCGGCCAGAGCGGUCUCCCCUCCUUCGGCUCCGACGACGACCGCCCAUGUCCGACGACCUAG
rnacentral:rRNA from 1 species